CCCAAGAGAUCGGGAUAACACCUGGAAACAGAUGCUAAUACCGGAUGACAACAGAUGAUGCCUAUCAACUGUUUAAAAGAUGGUUCUGCUAUCACUCUUGGAUGGACCUGCGGUGCAUUAGCUAGUUGGUAGGGUAACGGCCUACCAAGGCGAUGAUGCAUAGCCGAGUUGAGAGACUGAUCGGCCACAUUGGGACUGAGACACGGCCCAAACUCCUACGGGAGGCAGCAGGC
rnacentral:rRNA from 1 species